rnacentral:misc_RNA from 1 species
AGAAGUUUGUAUUUUAAAUAAUAAAGCAGCAUGUUGAAUGAAAAAUGAUUGCUAAAUGAAGAAAUCCAGGAGGUAAACAAGGUUUAAUUCAAAACUCUCAAGAUAAACAAAGUUCAAUAAAAAAUCAAAGGAUGAAAUAAAUUAUUGAAGAAAAAAUUUAAUAAAGUUUAAUCCAGAAUCUCCGGAUGAUUUAUUAAGAAAAUUAAACUUCAUGUCUGGAUGAACCAUACAUUCAAUUGAUGAAAACUGUUUGAUGUUCCCAAAUUUCACAAUAGUACUCAAUAAGGCAAGAAUGAUAUAAUACUUCAAUAGUGUUGAGAUAAGCUCAAAACUUAAAGAUUCUUUCUUUGUUUCUUCAAUCUAGAGCUCCAGGUUCUUGUCCUAUCGUCCAUUGGCUUCCUCUACCACUCCGGGCAGAGGAAGCCUCCUUUAUUCCUGCCCGGCUUGUGGGUUUUCCUCCCUGCGGCUGGGAUUUUUUGUCCUUGGCUGGUUGAACAGCGUGUUAAGUGGCAAAGGAGUCUCAUGGUUGUUUUGGGCUUCGUUUGUGUUUCUCCUUUGUGUUUGUUGUGCUUUUCUUUUGCAGGUGUUUAAUAGCACUCAUCGAGAAUCGGCUUGAGCUUAACUUUGUCCUUUGCAUGGCCGAGGAUGAGGCUUGGUGGUGGUAGCUCGCGAGGUCAAAUGAGAGUUCAACCCGGAAGGCGCGAAUGGGACAUUGAAGAGACCCAUCACCACCAUCCUCUGCUACUGAUUGAUUCUGAAAGGACGAGUCCUGCAUGGUCUUGACUUGGGGUUGUUAUGCUUUUUGUGGAUGUUUUGCUCAUGGAGGUUCUUUUGCCUCCUCAACGAGAGCUUUCUACCGGUCUUUUUUUUUUUUUUUUUUU